AACGCAAAUUGCGCCCUUUGGAAUUUUCCGAAGGGCAUGCCUGUUCGAGGGUCACUACAACCUCUCAAGUAUGGCUUGUAGUUGGACUCAUGUCAGUGACUGGCUGGCUUGGUCUCAAAGAUAGCAACGGCUUCCACGAGGCUCCUGGUACGAUGAGCUUUGAAAAGCAUGUAUCGUGGAAAUUCGGGAAGCUUGUCACUGCACUUUUUCAGAAGUUGACCUCGAAUCAGGCAAGAAUACCCGCUGAACUUAA
rnacentral:misc_RNA from 1 species